UUCACAAUUGUUGUAAACAUCGGUUGUUAUGUGCUAAUAUCUCUCUUUGUACAAUGAUAAAAAUUUAGAAAUCUUGGAUAUGGGUUAGUGGAAAGGAACUGCUACUUUAUAUUGAUGGGUGAUUUAAAUAAUUGAGUGCACUGGUGCAUAUUCUUGGAAGACUGCACAUAUUGGACAAACUUUUGGGCAUAUUUAUGGAAAAUUCAACGGAUUUGAUAAGCUUUUAUGGAGGUCACUUGGUUGAUAUUCUUGAAACCAGCUCAGAUGUCAUCUCGGGGUUCCUCUCUGCUUCUCAGAUGGAAAUUUUCUAAAUAAGAACAUAUCUUCAUUAUUAACUGAAAGCCCAGAGGCUUGGAAGAAAGAUUCAAGAUACAUCAUCAAGGAUCUCACAGAAUCCAAACAUCCACUUCUAGGCAGCAAGAAUCCAUAAAUAGAGCUAAGGAUUAUUUGACCAUGAAUUUUUGAAAAUACGCUCCCUUCUGGAUGGACUAAACGAAGAUGGAUCAUGGAGCACGCUGAUAUCGGUUGUCUGUUCGCCAUAGGUUUAGGUUUGCAGCAGAAGGAGAAUAAGCAUUGCAGAUUAUUAUACAGUUGGAGGUUUAUGAGCAGUAGUGAGUUCCUCUCAGAAUUAAAGCUUUGCAUGUAUUGAACCCAGGGAAGGUGACUGUUUAUUUUAGAAAACUGAAAUAUUAACAGAAGAAAGUGAGUUUUUGCUCAUCAACUAAUUUUCCCAGCAACCAAACGGAUGCAUAUUUGGAACAUGUCUCUGUGAGUUGUUGAAGUAAUCUUUGCAUGUAUUGAAUCUAGGGAAGAUGACCGUUUAUUGUAGAGAAAAACAAAGGUGAGCUUUUGCUCAUCAACAAAUUUUCCCAGCAGCCAAACAGAAUGUGGCUGCUUAUAUCUGAUAGACUUGGAACAUGUAUGGAUUUUCAGCUUAUUUUCUUA